rnacentral:rRNA from 1 species
GGCAACCUACGGGAGGCAGCAGUGGGGAAUAUUGCACAAUGGGGGAAACCCUGAUGCAGCGACGCCGCGUGAAGGAAGAAGUAUUUCGGUAUGUAAACUUCUAUCAGCAGGGAAGAAAAUGACGGUACCUGACUAAGAAGCCCCGGCUAACUACGUGCCAGCAGCCGCGGUAAUACGUAGGGGGCAAGCGUUAUCCGGAUUUACUGGGUGUAAAGGGAGCGUAGACGGAGGAGCAAGUCUGAUGUGAAAAUCCGGGGCCCAACCCCGGAACUGCAUUGGA